UGAGGUAAUUCCACACAUCUUGACUAACGGUCUGUCAUCUGCAUUCCUCUUAUUAACAGGGGAAACUUCAGUUGGUAUGUUUAUUAUACAAGAUACUGAUUUCUUCUUCUGAAACCUUGGGCGUAACGUAUGUAACGUCAUGUUCUUUGAACCUGGUAUUGCCACUUGGGCAUUAGAAGUCCCCUCGUCUGAUACUGGCAUCCCACGUUUGACCCUGAAAUUGACGAUGUUAUGUUAA
rnacentral:lncRNA from 1 species